AACACCUCAUCCAUGCUUAAGCACUACAGAGCUUUGCAUGAGAAUAAGGGGAACACCAAUUGUGGAGCAAGACCAGGAGAACAAUCUCAAAUAGAUGAAAACCUGGUUAGCAUGGUGAUUGAGGACUCCCAGCCAUUUAGCAUUGUGGAGGACAAAGGAUUUAAAAGAUUUGUUAAAUUAUUAAAUCCUAGCUAUGUUCUCCCCACUAAAAAGGCCAUAAAAGCAGUGAAAA